rnacentral:rRNA from 1 species
ACAGAGGGUGAGAAUCCCGUACGUGGUCGCUAGCCUUCGCCGUGUAAAGCCUCUUCGACGAGUCGAGUUGUUUGGGAAUGCAGCUCUAAAUGGGAGGUAAAUUUCUUCUAAAGCUAAAUACUGGCCAGAGACCGAUAGCGCACAAGUAGAGUGAUCGAAAGAUGAAAAGCACUUUGGAAAGAGAGUCAAAUAGCACGUGAAAUUGUUAAAAGGGAAGCGCUUGCAGCCAGACUUGCCCGUAGUUGCUCAUCCAGGCUUUUGCCUGGUGCACUCUUCUAUGGGCAGGCCAGCAUCAGUUUGGGCGGCUGGAUAAAGGUCUCGAUCACGUACCUCCUUUCGGGGAGGCCUUAUAGGGGAGACGACAUACAGCCAGCCUGGACUGAGGUCCGCGCAUUCGCUAGGAUGCUGGCGUAAUGGCUGUAAGCGGCCCGUCUUGAAACACGGACCAAGGAGUCUAACAUCUAUGCGAGUGUUUGGGUGUCAAGCCCGAACGCGCAAUGAAAGUGAACGGAGGUGGGAACCCUUAAGGGUGCACCAUCGACCGAUCCUGAUGUCUUCGGAAGGAUUUGAGUAAGAGCAUAGCUGUUGGGACCCGAAAGAUGGUGAACUAUGCUUGAAUAGGGUGAAGCCAGAGGAAACUCUGGUGGAGGCUCGCAGCGGUUCUGACGUGCAAAUCGAUCGUCAAAUUU